UGGGGAAUAUUGCACAAUGGGCGCAAGCCUGAUGCAGCCAUGCCGCGUGUAUGAAGAAGGCCUUCGGGUUGUAAAGUACUUUCAGCGAGGAGGAAGGCGUUGUGGUUAAUAACCGCAGCGAUUGACGUUACUCGCAGAAGAAGCACCGGCUAACUCCGUGCCAGCAGCCGAGGUAAUACGGAGGGUGCAAGGGUUAAUCGGAAUUACUGGGCGUAAAGCGCACGCAGGCGGUCUGUCAAGUCGGAUGUGAAAUCCCCGGGCUCAACCUGGGAACUGCAUCCGAAACUGGCAGGCUAGAGUCUUGUAGAGGGGGGUAGAAUUCCAGGUGUAGCGGUGAAAUGCGUAGAGAUCUGGAGGAAUACCGGUGGCGAAGGCGGCCCCCUGGACAAAGACUGACGCUCAGGUGCGAAAGCGUGGGGAGCAAACA
rnacentral:rRNA from 1 species